rnacentral:rRNA from 1 species
UACGGAGGGUGCGAGCGUUGUCCGGAAUCACUGGGCGUAAAGGGCGCGUAGGCGGCUUCUUAAGCGUGUGGUGAAAGCUCAGGGCUCAACUCUGGAGUCGGCCAUGCGAACUGGGAGGCUUGAGCACUGUAGAGGCAGUGGAAUUCCGGGUGAGCGGUGGAAUGCGUAGAGAUCCGGAAGAACACCGGUGGCGAAGGCGGCCUGCUGGGCAGUAGCUGA